rnacentral:lncRNA from 1 species
GGGGUUUUCUCUUUGUUUAAAUCCCUCCUCCCUCUGUCUCUACAAGGGAGCUGUUUUCUUCUUCCUUCUUUCUUGCUUAUUAAACUCUCCUCUCCUUAAAACCACUCCACGUAUGUCCAAGUCGUUUUAUCUAAUUCGGUGCAAGAUUAAGGACACUAGUGUUCUUCCAGUCAUCAUAGCCAUAUCAAUACUUGGUGUCAGAAGGAAGGACCAAAGGUGAUUCACCUUAAGGAGACUCACCAGGCCUUGGAACUACAGCAUGAGGUACCCACACUGGGGCUCUUUAGGGCCGCCGACCCUGACUUCCACGGGUCACUUCUUCUCCGGCUUGGAGAGUCUGUCUUAGAACUCCCAAUUUUGAUUUGUUUUCUGUUUUAUUUGGGAUUUGGUGAGGAAAGAUCUUUUCCUCCUUGUUUGAAUCUCUUGUUGAAGAGGACUCUUUUCCUCUGUUGACCUUGUCUAUGAAGUUUGAACCUAGAGGUUUGAAUGAGGAAAUUUUUUUCUUCAUUUGGAGAAGGCCAUUGUUUUUCUUGAGGCUGAGAAGGGGCCAGCAUCUAGUGAGGUUCUUCUUGCUGUACUAUCAAAUGGAAGGAGUUGUGCCUGGAACCUCAGCGAGGCAGAAUCAUUCACUCCCCUGGAAAGGGGGCUAAAGCCAGGGAGCCAAGUGGUCUCGCUCAGCAGGUCCCACUUUCCUGGAGCCCAGCGAGCAAACAACAACUGGCUUGAAAUUCUCACUGCCAGCGCAGCAGUCUGAAGUGGACGUGAGACAAUCAAGCUUGGUGGGUGGGAGGGGCAUCUGCCAUUACUGAGGCUUGAGUAGGCGAUUUUUCCCCUGACAGUGCUAAGGAGGCCAGGAAGUUCAAACUUGGCAGAAUUCACCACAGUGCAGCAAAGUAUCUGUGGCCAGUCUGCCUCUCUAGAUUCUUCUCACUGGGCAAGGCAUCUCUGAAAAAAAGGCAGCAGCCCCAGUCAGGGGCUUAUAGAUAAAACUCCCAUCUCCCUGGGUCAGAGAACCUGGGGGAAGGGGCAGCUGUGGGUGCAACUUGAGCAGACUUAAACAUUCCUGCCUGCCGGUUCUGAAGAGAGGAGCAGAUCUCCCAGCACAGUGUUCGAGCUCUGCUAAGGGACAAACUGCCUCCUCAAGUGGGUCCCUGACCCCCAUAUGCCUCCUGACUGGGAGACAGCUCUUAGCAGGGGUUGACAGACACCUCAUAGAGGAGAGCUCUGGCUGGCAUCAGGCCAGUGCCCCUCUGGGACAAAGCUUCCUGAAAAAGGAGCAGGUGGCAGUCUUUGCUCUUCUGCAGCCUACAUGGGUGAUAUCCAAGCAAACAGGGUCUGGAGUGGACCUCAACUACAGCAGGCCUGCAGAAGAGGAGCCUGACUGUUAGAAGAAAAACUAACAAACAGAAAGCAAUAACAUCAACAUCAACAAGAAGGACCCCCACAUGAAAACCCCAUCCAAAGGUCAUCAGCCUCAAAGAUCAAAGGUAGAUAAAUCCAUGAAGAUGAGAAAAAAAACAAUGCAAAAAUGCUGAAAAUUCCAAAAACCAGAAUGCCUCGUCUCCAAAUGAUCACAACUGGUCUCUAGCAAACCUAGAUGACGGAUUGAUAGGUGCAGCAAACCACCAUGGCAUAUGUAUACCUAUGUAACAAACCUGCACAUUCUACACAUUUAUCCCAGAACUUAAAAGUAAAAAUAUAAUAAAUAAGAUUAAAUUAAAUUUAAAAAGAUACUUCCAUAUGCAUGUUUAUAGCAGCACAAUUCACAAUUGCAAAAAUGUGGAACCAACCCAAGUGCCCAUCAAUCAACGAGUGGAUAAAGAACCUGUGGUAUUAUAUGUAUAUGAUGGAAUACCACUCACUCACAGAAGGGAAUGAAUUAACGGCAUUUGCAGUGACCUGGAUGAGAUUGGAGACAAUUAUUCUAAAUGAAGUAGCUCAGGAAUGGAAAACCAAGCAUCAUAUGUUCUCACGCAUUAGUAGGAGCUAAGCUAUGAGGAUGCAAAGGCAUAGGAAUGGCACAAUGGACUUUGGGGACUCAGGGGAAAAGGGUGGGAAGUGGGUAAGGGAUAAAAGACUACAAAUAGGAUGCAGUCUAUACUGCUCGGUGAUGAGUGCACCAAAAUCUCACCAAAUCACCACUAAAGAACUACCCAUGUAACCAAACACCACCUGUUCCCCAAUAACCUAUGGAAAUUAAAAAAAAAAAAAAAAAGUUUAAUUUCAUUUACUGCC